rnacentral:lncRNA from 1 species
AGACGCCCCUCCUGUGCUGCGCAGUCUUGGUGGCUGCAGAUUCCCACUUACCUGUGAUUUGGGGUGACUUCCUCACCUGUGAAGGAGGGGCUGCUGAGAGCACCGGCCUCUCCAGCCCUGUCGGCGAGGUCCCUGCCCUGCCCCAGCUGCUGGAGGGAGGGAAGCUGCAGGAAGGAGCUGGGGCUGUCCAGGGUCAGGGCAGCUGCACCAUAGCAGGACCAGGGGCCUCUCACGGCGGCUGGACCAUGGCCGGGGCUGCCCUAGGCAAGCAGGUAGACCAGGGAUCAGCAUGAGGACUGGACCCUCACAACAGGGACGGACUCUUCCAUUCAUUCCAGAGCUGCUGACCCCUGUGGCUCUGCAGGGCCCAGGUGUGACCGCAGCUCCUGAGGUGAGCACGACCCAGGCUCUGGCAGAGCUCCAUGGCACUGGGAGGCAGAGUCGCAUGUGGGCAUCUGUGUCAGGUUCUCUGUGGCCUGCUUGCCUGGGGAAGCUCUGAAUCACGUCUGUUGUUCCAGAACAAUCACUAAUCACAACCAGCCUGCCCUUCCGUCCACUCCCAAAAGCAUCCCAGGCAA